rnacentral:rRNA from 1 species
UUGGUAGGGUAACGGCCUACCAAGGCUACGAUCAGUAGGGGUUCUGAGAGGAUUAACCCCCACACUGGUACUGAGACACGGACCAGACUCCUACGGGAGGCAGCAGUGAGGAAUAUUGGUCAAUGGGCGGAAGCCUGAACCAGCCAUCCCGCGUGAAGGAAGACAGCCUUACGGGUUGUAAACUUCUUUUCUGUCAGAAGAAUAAGCUUGUCGAGACGAGUGAUGCCGGUAUGACAGGAAUAAGCAUCGGCUAACUCCGUGCCAGCAGCCGCGGUAAUACGGAGGAUGCAAGCGUUAUCCGGAUUUAUUGGGUUUAAAGGGUGCGCAGGUUGUUUGAUAAGUCAGUGGUGAAAGUCUGUCGCUUAACGGUAGGAUUGCCAUUGAUACUGUUGGACUUGAAUAUGGAUGAGGUAGGCGGAAUGUGUAGUGUAGCGGUGAAAUGCAUAGAUAUUACACAGAACACCGAUUGCGAAGGCAGCUUACUAAUCCAUCAUUGACGCUGAGGCACGAAAGCGUGGGGAUCAAACAGGAUUAGAUACCCUGGUAGUCCACGCCGUAAACGAUGAUCACUCGCUGUUUGCGAUAUACAGUAAGCGGCUAAGCGAAAGC